rnacentral:rRNA from 1 species
AUUGAACGCUGGCGGCAGGCCUAACACAUGCAAGUCGAGCGGAUGAGGGAAGCUUGCUUCCCGAUUUAGCGGCGGACGGGUGAGCAAUGCCUAGGAAUCUGCCUAUUAGUGGGGGAUAACGUUCCGAAAGGAACGCUAAUACCGCAUACGUCCUACGGGAGAAAGUGGGGGAUCUUCGGACCUCACGCUAAUAGAUGAGCCUAGGUCGGAUUAGCUAGUUGGUGAGGUAACGGCACACCAAGGCGACGAUCCGAAGCUGGUCUGAGAGGAUGAUACACCACACUGGAACUGAGACACGGUCCAGACACCUACGGGAGGCAGCAGUGGGGAAUAUUGGACAAUGGGCGAAAGCCUGAUCCAGCCAUGCCGCGUGUGUGAAGAAGGUCUUCGGAUUGUAAAGCACUUUAAGUUGGGAGGAAGGGUUGUAAGCUAAUAUCUUGCAGCUUUGACGUUACCAACAGAAUAAGCACCGGCUAACUCUGUGCCAGCCGCCGCCGUAACAC